rnacentral:rRNA from 1 species
GCUGUGGAACUCCUACGGGAGGCAGCAGUGGGGAAUAUUGGACAAUGGGGGGAACCCUGAUCCAGCCAUGCCGCGUGUGUGAAGAAGGCCUUAUGGUUGUAAAGCACUUUAAGCGAGGAGGAGGCUCUUUUGGUUAAUACCCAAGAUGAGUGGACGUUACUCGCAGAAUAAGCACCGGCUAACUCUGUGCCAGCAGCCGCGGUAAUACAGAGGGUGCAAGCGUUAUUCGGAUUUACUGGGCGUAAAGCGCGCGUAGGCGGCCAAUUAAGUCAAAUGUGAAAUCCCCGAGCUUAACUUGGGAAUUGCAUUCGAUACUGGUUGGCUAGAGUGUGGGAGAGGAUGGUAGAAUUCCAGGUGUAGCGGUGAAAUGCGUAGAGAUCUGGAGGAAUACCGAUGGCGAAGGCAGCCAUCUGGCCUAACACUGACGCUGAGGUGCGAAAGCAGGGGGAGCAAACAGGAUUAGAUACCCGAGUAGUCCUACCACGU